rnacentral:lncRNA from 1 species
GUAAUAGUAGCUGACUCAGUGACCACAGUGAAGGGAAAGUACACAGGAGGUUCAGCAGGCCUUCCUGGGUGAGCCCUGAUGAGAGUUUGUUUCCCUUUGAUGACAGAGACAGAGAAGAGCACAGGUGACUGCAGCCCAUAUGCCUCAAUUACAUCUCUCAUGUCCUUCACUGUUCCCUGAUUUUCCUGGGAUAUUGACUACAAAGUUUUCUGCUACAAGGAAAGAAGAAGGAAACUUAAGAGAAAUGAAAAUUAAGAAAUACAGCUUGUUCCUAGAAAAUUCAGACUCCUCGAUCUUUAGACACAAGAUCGAGGUCCUGGGCCUUACAUUUCAACACAGGUCCCUCAUAUCCAUAAAGGAAGGAGCCAAGAAACCAGCUUUCCUGAAAGCAGUGCCUGUUCCAAAGGUAUAAGCAAAUGAGGAAAACAACCCACGUGUAGGAGUGAGAAGCUUUCCUACACAAGAAUUUGCAUGAAUAAAUGGUGGCUUAUGUGGCA